ACUAGUGAUUUCCGUAGGUGAACCUGCGGAAGGAUCAUUAACACGAAUAUCCAUUUUACACCUUAAUCUUAAACGUGGUGGAGCUCUUCGGAGUAACACCAUCCUGAUUACCGGGUUACUCUCAAGUGUGACUUAGGUCUUCGAGCGUUUAACCUUUUUUCAACCACACCUGUGACUGAAAUAUUAUUCAUCUGUAUCACAACUUUUAACGGUGGAUGCCUCGGCUUGAGCAUCGAUGAAGGACGCAGCAAAAUGCGAUAAGCACUGCGAAUGGCAGAAUUUCGAGAAUCAAUAGAAUGCUGAACGCAUACUGCACUUUUGGGUCACUCCGAAAGUAUGUUUGCUUCAGGGCGUUUAUACUUUAAUGCAAUCUGAUAUGCUAGUUCGUCUAGCUUCAGUAUUCGCGUUUUUGUGUGUCAGCGUCUGUAAAGCGCUAUCGCGCCGCUGACACAUCAAAUUAAGUAGUUGGCUUCAACUAAUCAAGCUACCGCUUUGUGUUGGAUUUCGGUUCUCAUAAGUGGCAGUAGAUCUGAAGCUGAUAAGGCUACGCUUUAUGAUAAAUUAUUUUCGCAUGAAGUCAAACAGGGCUACACGCUGAAUUUAAGCAUAUCAAU
rnacentral:rRNA from 1 species